UACGUAGGGUGCGAGCGUUAAUCGGAAUUACUGGGCGUAAAGUGUGCGCAGGCGGCCGCGCAAGUCGAGUGUGAAAGCCCCGAGCUUAACUUGGGAACUGCGCUCGAAACUACGUGGCUGGAGUGUGGCAGAGGAAGGUGGAAUUCCAGGUGUAGCGGUGAAAUGCGUAGAGAUCUGGAGGAACACCGAUGGCGAAGGCAGCCUUCUGGGCCAACACUGACGCUCAUGCACGAAAGCGUGGGGGAGCAAACAGG
rnacentral:rRNA from 1 species